CCAUAUUUCAGUGGCGGGAAAGUGUAAUGCGACUUAGCGGGGGCAUUCGAUGAAAAUUUCAAUCGGGCAAAACCAGAGACCGAAAAUUAAAUCCCUCAAAACUAAAAAGUGGCAUGCAGUGCUGAGGACACAAACAAUUACAAUUUACACAGGUAGAUAUGGAACAUUUUGGAGAGAAAAUGGAGUUGCUUAAAUUCUCCAAAUUCAAGCUCCAGCUUCGUACGCUCAUCACCGAAGUCCGAGAACUCAGAGAAAAGGAACGCUCUGCCACCGAGCAACUUAGUCUUCUUAUUCAGAAACAAAAGCAAACCGAGGAAGAAUAUGGGAGGAAAUUACAGGAAUCGCAGGCUGAAUUAGCUUCCUCCAAUGAGCUGCGCCAAAAACUCGAAAGAGAGGCAAGGUACCUUCAGAAUGACAAUUCUAUGCUCGAGAACAAGCAAAAAGAGUUGAAAGGAACGAUACAAACCCUACUCCAGUCGAGGGACACAUUCGUUAAUGCUUAUGAGGAAUCCACUUGUGAAAUGAAACGCUCAAUUCAGUGCAGAGAUAGAAAGCUUUCUGUCCUAUCUGAGAAGAUUAAAUAUCAUCUAUUGCUAUUUGAUUCAAUAGAAAAGGAGGCAAUGUCUGUAAAGAAAGUUGUGGAUAACGUGCAACGUAUCGUGAGUGAAAAAGAGGAAGUAGUAGCUGGCUUAAAGAGCAAAUUGGAUACUGUUUCCACAUUUGAGAAAGUAUAUAUAGAAAGGAUCUGUGACCUCGAAAGCAAACUGAAUAAUUAUGAAGGUGAGACUCGGAGAAAGGAUAGAGUCAUCUCAGAACUAGAAGCACAGAUGGAGGCAGCAAAAAUUUGCAAUAACAGCCAGACACAAAUAGAAGAGCUUCAGAAAAUUAUAUCAUCAAAGGAUGUGGUCAUACAGAAUUUGAUGUCAGAAAAACAGGCAUUGCAUUUUGAAGUUGGGAGUUUGGGGAUCAUCUUAAGGAAGAUUCAAGACACUAUUAGAAGUAUGAAUGAAGAGGAUAAAGGGGUAAUUUCCUCAAUGCUGGAACGCCAAGGAGGAUGCAAUAUGAUUUUGACGAAGGAAGAUAAUAGGAUUGAAGAUGCAGUCAACAACAAUGCAGAAAAGUCGCAAGAAAAGGCUUAUGGGACAGGCGUUGGUGGAAAUACAAGUUUUUCUUGUUCACCUAUUUCUCAAAAGUACAAGUCAGCUGGCAACGACUUACAAGAGAACAAUGACUUUGACUCCUGUGUGUCAGAGUUUAACUGUUCUUCCCCACAGUCAGCUUCCUCAAAACCUCAAUCAGGAGCUACUCUUCCAAGUGCCUCUCAGUAAAUGAUAGAAAGCUUGCCAAACGUAAAAUUUUCAAUAUUCAGGAUAAUUGCACAGCAUCAACGCAUAUAGAUUCAGAGUGCUCAACAACCCAAGAUUAAGCCUCACAUAAUCCAAAUUAGGUUCGUGGACAGUACCCAUCAGAUCAUUUUCAUCAUGGGAAGCAUAGCUGCAUAAGUAGGAGGAUGCAAAGCCGCUGGGAGUUGGCAUCAGAAAUUAGGUUUUGGUCAUGUGCCCCUCACGUGGAGGGGCAAUUUCGUCAAAUCGUGCCCACCUUAAAGGUCUGAAAAGCUGCCCUCGAAAAUUUUGUGGAUUAGGGGGUUCUUCGAAAAUUUUUAGUUACGGGUUUUGAAUUGGUUCAAUUCAUUUAUGGUUUAGAUCUAGGGCAAGUAGAAGGUGUUGAAGACGGAGGAGCUGGCCUUUGUAGAAGAGCUCGUCGGCGGGGCAGAGGAUGUUGGAGGAUUUUCUAGGAGAGAGAGAGAGAGAGAGAGAGAGAGAGAGAGAGAGAGAGAGAGAGAGAGAGAUGGUGAACUCGAAAUCUGAGAAGGAGGAGCAAGAGAAAGAGUGGUUUGGGGAGGGCGACAGGGUUU